rnacentral:rRNA from 1 species
UACGGGGGGGGCAAGCGUUGUUCGGAAUUACUGGGCGUAAAGGGCUCGUAGGCGGCCAACUAAGUCAGACGUGAAAUCCCCAGGCUCAACCUGGGAACUGCGUCUGAUACUGGAUGGCUUGAAUUCGGGAGAGGGAUGCAGAAUUCCAGGUGUAGCGGUGAAAUGCGUAGAUAUCUGGAGGAACAUCAGUGGCGAAGGCGACAUCCUGGACCGGUAUUGACGCUGAGGCGCGAAAGCCAGGGGAGCAAACGGG